CCUACGGGUGGCAGCAGUGGGGAAUAUUGCACAAUGGGGGAAACCCUGAUGCAGCAACGCCGCGUGAAGGAAGACGGUUUUCGGAUUGUAAACUUCUGUUCUUAGUGAAGAAUAAUGACGGUAGCUAAGGAGCAAGCCACGGCUAACUACGUGCCAGCAGCCGCGGUAAUACGUAGGUGGCAAGCGUUGUCCGGAAUUACUGGGUGUAAAGGGAGCGCAGGCGGGUAGCCAAGUCAGCUGUGAAAACUACGGGCUUAACUUGGAGACUGCAGUUGAAACUGGUUUACUUGAGUGAUGUAGAGGUAGGCGGAAGGCGGGGUGUAGCGGUGAAAGGCAUAGAUAUCCGGAAGAACUCCGAUGGCGAAGGCAGCCAACUAAGCCAUAACUGACACUGAAGCUCGAAAGCGUGGGGAGCAAACAGGAUUAGAUACCCUAGUAGUC
rnacentral:rRNA from 1 species